rnacentral:lncRNA from 1 species
AAGGAGAAGGUGGUUUGGGGGGCGGGGGUGGUGGAGCUGCAGGCGUAGACCCUCCGGUCGAUAGUGCCAUUGGUGCCGCAGUGGGCAGAGAUGCAACCCCCUGUGCCGUCCGUCGUGUGGUAGAUGACGUGCCCCGGGCGGAAGCGCUGCCCAUCGUAGGUGCAGACACAGGCUGUGGGGAGCAGAGUGGCAGAGCGCUAUAGGGGGCUGGGGCGCGGGUGGCGACCCCAAGACCCCAGACCUGAGGAAGGCUGCCCGCUGCUCACCCUCGGCGUCGUAGGUGCACUGCACGCCACUCUCUGUGCAAACGCUGGCGACAGAAGGAAGAAGGUGGGUCUAGGGGUGCAGGUGUCCCCCUGCGCCAGGGUGGACAAGUGGGACCAGCCCCCACAGGGGUGCCCUGGGGCUGCAUCUCAGCCCUGCCAGUAGACAGGGAGCCUGAGGUCAGACCCUCUCGGGGGGCCUCCUUCCAAUCAAUGACCAGUGGAGGUGGGGGUCCGGCACGGCCGAGGAGCCCCACUGGUGUUCUGAUGGCCUUUCCUCUCUGGGGCGUCUGUCCCAGGGAUCCUCGGGGUGGCGUCAUGGCUCAGCUUCCCCUCUGCCCACCCUGCAUUUCCCUCUUCCCUUCACCCCGAGGCCCCCACCCGCCUCUUGCAACAGGGGGCACCUGGUCAGACCCCACAGGAAAACCAGGCUGUGGAGACCCCUCCUGGCCCUGAAGGGAUGAGGCCCCGAGGGAGGGGGCGCUUGCUCUGAGGGUGGUGGGUCAGGCAAAUGACCCCAUGUUCCAGGCUCCUGACACCUCUGGCCCAGCGACUCACCAGGAAUGGCAGUUCUCAUCUGAGGGGACCGGCGUUCCUGGCUGGUGCCCAGAGGAGCCCCCAACACCCCCAGCCCCUGGCUUCAUACGUGGGCAUGACAGGUGGCGAAGGUGGCGCUGUUGAUGAUGCUGCACUGCUUCUGGGCCCAGGACUUUCGGUACGGGUUGGCGCUGCAGGGGUCCUUGGGGGCUGGGGCAUCCGGGCAGGACGGGGAGAACUUCCAGCUGUUGCCGAACUCCAGCGCGUUGCCCACCACGGACUGGCUCCUCGUGGUGAAGUCGUUGACGGCGUUGUCAUCGAAGUUCCCACACAGCCCGCAGACCCUUCCCUGCAGACGCAGAGACGGACGGGGCCCAGGUGCUCAGGGCAUGCACAGGAGGGCCCAGGCCCCUCCGAACCCUCUUCCUCCCACUGGGGCCCACACUUUCCUCAGGAGACCCCAGGAGGAGGAGUAGGGAGGGCGAAUCCCGUGCAGCCCCACUUGGCACAGAGGCCAUGGGGCUGUGCCUCAGUUUCUCCCGGAGGAAAGGCAUGGGAGAAACAGCAUAGUGGGCUAAAUGGUGUCCCCCAGAGGCAGGCUCAGGCCCUGAUUCUGGGACCCCUGAGCACAGCCUCAUGUGGAAAUAGGGUCUCUGUGGAUGGGAUUCAGUUACGAUGA